ACGGUCUACGUCACGUCCGCCCGCCUCUGAUUCAAGAACUUCGGCCUCGUAGCCAGCUGGGUUUGUUCGUGGGUGUGUUGCUGCGGUCCGGCUUCGGUCGGGCUAGAAGUUUUCCUUCUUUCCUUGCAGUUUCCGGCCUUGUGGUUCCGAGCACACCAGGUGUCGUGUAAUCGAGGCUUAGUCUUCGGACUUUGUACGGGAACUCUGUGAGCUGCUUGCCGUGGGGCCCUGACCCGCGGCGGCGAGGAAGGUCAAAAUCACCACGAAAGGGAAACAUUCUGGAUUGACUCAGGACUUGGAGGCAGCCACGGCAGCACAGCUGGAAACACUCAUGAAGUAGACUCCAGAGCUGCUUCAAAAAGUGGUGAGAAGGACAGGCAUGUUCAUGAUGUGAUGGCUGGACCACCACAAGUGGCACCCGAACAGCAACCUGAGUAUCGAGGGAUCCAGUGAAGGACACCACAGAGGAGAACGAGGCCUCAAUGAAAAGGAACAUGAUGGAGCUCGAUGGCUACUGGAAAGGCUGAUUCAUCAUGUGCAUACUCCUGCUGAUGUCACUUCCUGCAAGAUGUGAUGCCAAUCCUCAAGAACAUUGGACUUAUAUGGCAGAUCCUCUCCUUGCACAUCCUGUCUCAUGUGAAGUGCCGGUACUGGUGAAUGAUACAAAUAUGCUCGGUCAUUUAUAAAGUAAUGUUUCUAUGUUAUAAAGAAAAUGAGACUGCUACAUUGAGAAGUUUCUCUGGGACAAAAAAGGACAUUUCUCGAUUGAUCACUAACCAACACUACAUAAAAGAGUUCAUCUGCUAGUCUUAGCCUUUCUGCUGGACUUUGGUGGGAAGAUUUAAGUUUUCCUCAAACCAACAUUUGAAAACUUGCUGCUGCAUUGGGAGAAAUAUGCUUAUAGUCAG